rnacentral:rRNA from 1 species
GACGAACGCUGGCGGCGUGCCUAAUACAUGCAAGUAGGACGCAGUUGCGAACGGGUGAGUAACGCGUAGGUAACUGCCUAUUAGAGGGGGAUAACUAUUGGAAACGAUAGCUAAUACCGCAUACUAGUAGAUGGACCUGCGUUGUAUUAGCUAGUAGGUAGGGUAAUGGCCUACCUAGGCAACGAUACAUAGCCGACUGGAGAGGGUGAUGUGCCAACCUGGGACGGAGCAACGGCCCAGAAUCCUACGGGAGGCAGCAGUAGGGAAUCUUCGGAAAGGGGGGGAACCCUGACCGAGCAACGCCGCGUGAGUGAAGAAGGUUGUCGGAUCGUAAAGCUCUGUUGUUAAGGAAGCGGUACUUAACCAGAAAGGGACGGCUAACUACGUGCCAGCCGCCGCGGUAAUUC